rnacentral:rRNA from 1 species
UACGGAGGGAGCUAACGUUAUUCGGAAUUACUGGGCGUAAAGCGCACGUAGGCGGCUUUGUAAGUUAGAGGUGAAAGCCUGGAGCUCAACUCCAGAAUUGCCUUUAAGACUGCAUCGCUUGAAUCCAGGAGAGGUGAGUGGAAUUCCGAGUGUAGAGGUGAAAUUCGUAGAUAUUCGGAAGAACACCAGUGGCGAAGGCGGCUCACUGGACUGGUAUUGACGCUGAGGUGCGAAAGCGUGGGGAGCAAACAGG